rnacentral:lncRNA from 1 species
CCCGUCACCCGGAGGCCCUGGUAACUGUUGGUGAGGGUUACUUCCACUCCCGCACAGUCACCCUGUGCCUAAGUGCUUCACACCAUAAGCAGGAGCCGGGGCUGCUCUUGUUCUGGGGCUUCUCAGAGGAAACCUCCUGGGGUCUCCAGAAGCCCCCUGGGACUCAGGAUGGGAAUGCGUGUCUGUUGCGGCUGAUCUCCAAGCCGCUGGGGGACUGAGGGCCACCCCUCCCCGGGCCUCUCCUCCCCCUGGCUCCGCCACGGCCCCCGGCCGCACGGUGGGGUGGUUCCGUGGCAGGCUCUUCUGGACAGCCAGCCAAGCAGUGAGAGGCCCAGGCGGGGGAGCAGGACCGGGAGGGAGCGAGCUAGCGUGGGAGGGGCACUGGGUGGGAUCGCGGCCUGGCCCCCUGGGGUAGGACCUGCUGUCAGCUCGCCCCUGCCACCCCCACGACAGGGCCCUGGCAGGCUGGGUGCGUGGAACGGGCAAGCAGCAAGCUGGGGCCGGCCAGGGGGAGACUCCGUCCAUGUCAGAGGUCCCUGCAGGAAGUUCCUUGAGCCCAGCCGUCCUGCCCGGGAAGCUCGUCUGCAGAUGUUGUUUCUAAGGGCGAAUACAUCAAGACCUGGCGGCCCCGGUACUUCCUGCUGA